rnacentral:rRNA from 1 species
UACGGGGGGGAGCAAGCGUUGUUCGGAUUUACUGGGCGUAAAGGGCGCGUAGGCGGCCACCGCAAGUCGACUGUGAAAUCUCCGGGCUUAACUCGGAAAGGUCAGCCGAUACUGCGGGGCUAGAGUGCAGAAGGGGCAACUGGAAUUCUCGGUGUAGCGGUGAAAUGCGUAGAUAUCGUAAGGAAGACCAGUGGCGAAGGCGGGUCUCUGGACAGUUCCUGACACUGAGACACGAAGGCCAGGGGAGCAAACGGG